GAUGAACGCUAGCGGCAGGCCUAACACAUGCAAGUCGAGGGAGGAGCUUUCGGGCUUCGACCGGCGUACGGGUGCGUAACGCGUAUACAAUCUGCCUUUCACAUAGGGAUAGCCCGAAGAAAUUUGGAUUAAUACCUAAUGGUAUAUAGAGGUGGCAUCACCUUUAUAUUAAAGCUGAGGCGGUGAAAGAUGGGUAUGCGUUCUAUUAGCUAGUUGGAGAGGUAGCGGCUCCCCAAGGCGACGAUAGAUAGGGGUUCUGAGAGGGAUAUCCCCCACACUGGUACUGAGAUACGGACCAGACUCCUACGGGAGGCAGCAGUGAGGAAUAUUGGACAAUGGUCGGAAGACUGAUCCAGCCAUGCCGCGUGCAGGAAGACGGCCUUAUGGGUUGUAAACUGCUUUUGCAGGGGAAGAAUAAGGACUACGCGUAGUUUGAUGACGGUACUCUGCGAAUAAGCAUCGGCUAACUCCGUG
rnacentral:rRNA from 1 species